rnacentral:lncRNA from 1 species
GAUACAUUCUAAUAACCAGAUUAUAAAUAUACAUAGAGUAUAAACAUUAUUCUGAGAAGGGUUCCAUAGAUUUCACUGGACUGCAAAGGAGUCUGUGACACACAAAAAAAUAGAUUAAGAAUCCCUCCAUUCAUCCCAUUUUCUUUACAAGUAGGAAGGAAAUAAACAUUUAUUAAAUGCCUACUCUGUACCAGACUGCGCUAAGCCCUUUACAAUAUGAUCUUAUUUGAUCCUCUUUUUACAGUUGAGGGACUGAGGUUGAUAGAGGUUAAAUGACUUGUCCACGGGUCAUCUAGAUACUCAGUAACUGAGGCUGGAUUUGAACCUAGUUCUUUCUGACUUCAGGACUCCAGUACUCAAUUCAUUGGCCUACUUAGCUGCUUCCUCGUGGGAAUAUCAGUUCUCGGGACACUGAUCAGGAGAGGAAAUGGGAUUUUAGUGGAAGCAGAGAGCUAUCUCUGGGUCGGAACCAUACUGCAGUUCAGCGCAUUUGCCAUUCAUUUACUCUGCGCAGACCUUGAGGGAAGAUGCUGCUCCUGAUUUCAAGAAGCUUUACCGCCUGGGUAGAGAGAGAUGACACAAAGGC